rnacentral:snRNA from 1 species
AUAUCUGCUUGAUAGCUGCAGCACCAAAGCUUACUCAGGCAAGAAUGUGGGAAACUCGACUGCAUAAUUUGUGGUAGUGGGGGACUGCGUUCGCGCUCUCCCCUG